rnacentral:rRNA from 1 species
UGGGGAAUUUUGCACAAUGGGGGAAACCCUGAUGCAGCGACGCCGCGUGAUUUAGAAGGCCUUCGGGUUGUAAAAAUCUUUUGUAUGGGAAGAAAAUAACAGUACCAUACGAAUAAGGACCGGCUAAUUACGUGCCAGCAGCCGCGGUAAUACGUAAGGUCCGAGCGUUGUCCGGAAUCAUUGGGCGUAAAGGGUACGUAGGCGGAUAAGCAAGUUAGAAGUGAAAUCCUAUAGCUCAACUAUAGUAAGCUUUUAAAACUGCUCAUCUUGAGGUAUGGAAGGGAAAGUGGAAUUCCUAGUGUAGCGGUGAAAUGCGCAGAUAUUAGGAGGAAUACCGGUGGCGAAGGCGACUUUCUGGCCAUAUACUGACGCUGAGGUACGAAAGCGUGGGUAGCAAACAGG